GAGGAUAUAGCUCAGUGGUCGAGCAUAUGCUUAGCAUGCAUGAGGUCGUGGGUUCAAUCCCCAGUAUCUCCG
rnacentral:tRNA from 1 species